rnacentral:rRNA from 1 species
UAACGAAUCUUCCGCAAUGGGCGAAAGCCUGACGGAGCAAUGCCGCGUGUGGGAUGAAGCGCCUUCGGCGUGUAAACCACUGUCAGGGAAUGGAACCAAUGAUUAUUCCCAAAGGAAGUGGCGACUAACUCUGUGCCAGCAGUCGCGGUAAUACAGAGGCCACAAGCGUUAGUCGGAAUCACUGGGCUUAAAGGGUGCGUAGGCGGGCCCGCAAGCGUCUUGUGAAAUCCCAUGGCUCAACCAUGGAAUUGCAGGGCGAACUGCGGGUCUUGAGGCAGGUAGGGCCGGAAGAACAGUAGGUGGAGCGGUGAAAUGCGUAGAUAUCUACUGGAAUGCCGAUGGGGAAGCCGUCCGGCUGGGCCUGUCCUGACGCUGAGGCACGAAAGCGUGGGGAGCAAACAGGAUUAGAUACCCAGGUAGUCCCUGAGCGGGCUGGCAAGGCGCAU